UACGGAGGGUGCAAGCGUUAUCCGGAUUCACUGGGUUUAAAGGGUGCGUAGGAGGGCAGGGAAGUCCGUGGUGAAAUCCUAGAGCUUAACUCUAGAACUGCCGUGGAUACUCUCUGUCUUGAAUCCCGUGGAGAUGAGCGGAAUAUGUCAUGUAGCGGUGAAAUGCUUAGAUAUGACAUAGAACACCAAUUGCGAAGGCAGCUCGUUACACGAAGAUUGACUCUGAGGCACGAAAGCGUGGGUAGCAAACAGG
rnacentral:rRNA from 1 species